GCCGGUGUAGCUCAAUCGGCAGAGCAGCUGAUUUGUAAUCAGCAGGUUACCGGUUCAAGUCCGGUCGCCGGCUCCA
rnacentral:tRNA from 2 species